CCUUAAACAAUGCGCUCGAUCCAUAAUUGGCGAUUAUAACUACGCCAUGGCUGCCUAAUCUCGGCAGGAUGCUGAGAUAGAGGCUUAAAAGGUUAACCGGUAAGACCGGUUCCUGGCCACAUCCCGCCCGGUUCUGUUUUGCCGACCGGGGUUUUGGGGUGUCGGAAAGGCAAAACUAGCUGCCGGCAGGCUGCGGGCCGGUAGCGAACCUGAAGCAGCUAAGGGAAAUGGCAGGCCUGUUUCCCGGCUGGCCUUUCCCCGACAAGCAAAAGGGAAACUAAGCAUGUAGAAGAUACAUUGCCGCCUUGUCUGGACCAGGGUUCGACUCCCUGCGGCUCCACAA
rnacentral:tmRNA from 1 species